AUGAGAAUGUGCCAUCCGAUGUUCUUGUUCUGGCCGCUUGCUUUCAAGCGGAGGCGGAUGUACUGGCAAUUCAAGUUGAACCUUUAUAUUCUGUGGAAUAUAUAUAUUUGCCGAUGCUUCUCCAAUGAUCAUAUUUCAGCAACUCUUUUUGGGCAAGCGUACCAGAACUCAUUGCUACUAUGUCUUGCUGGAUGCAUUUGUGAUCUAUCGAAGUAUGACAAGUGGCUUGUCCAGUCCUUGCGGCCCCAAUGCCACACUGGAAAUGGGAGAUGGCUGGUUGAUUAUGUGCUGAGCACAGGAUGA
rnacentral:rRNA from 1 species